rnacentral:rRNA from 1 species
GGCCAAGUUUUUAAGGGCGCACGGUGGAUGCCUUGGCACCAGGAACCGAUGAAGGACGUGGGAGGCCGCGAUAGGCCCCGGGGAGCUGUCAACCGAGCUUUGAUCCGGGGGUGUCCGAAUGGGGAAACCCGGCAGUCGUCAUGGGCUGUCACCCAUACCUGAACACAUAGGGUAUGUGGAGGGAACGCGGGGAAGUGAAACAUCUCAGUACCCGCAGGAAGAGAAAACAACCGUGAUUCCGGGAGUAGUGGCGAGCGAAACCGGAUGAGGCCAAACCAGUUACGUGUGAUACCCGGCAGGGGUUGCGUGGCUGGGGUUGUGGGAUCGCGCUUUCAUCGUCUGCCGGCGGUGAGGUGAGUCAGAAAUUGCUGAUGUAGGCGAAGGACAUGCGAAAGGUCCGGCGUAGAGGGUAAGACCCCCGUAGCUGAAAUGUCAGUAACUUGCUUGUGCGACACCCAAGUAGCACGGGGCCCGUGAAAUCCCGUGUGAAUCUGGCGGGACCACCCGCUAAGCCUAAAUAUUCCCUGGUGACCGAUAGCGGAUAGUACCGUGAGGGAAUGGUGAAAAGUACCGCGGGAGCGGAGUGAAAUAGUACCUGAAACCGUGUGCCUACAAGCCGUGGGAGCGUCGCAUGCGUGCUUGCACGUAUGUCGUGACUGCGUGCCUUUUGAAGAAUGAGCCUGCGAGUUUGCGGUAUGUUGCGAGGUUAACCCGGGUGGGGUAGCCGUAGCGAAAGCGAGUCCGAAGAGGGCGUUGAGUAGCGUGCCCAAGACCCGAAGCGGAGUGAUCUAGCCAUGGGCAGGUUGAAGCGGAGGUAAGACUUCGUGGAGGACCGAACCCACCAGGGUUGAAAACCUGGGGGAUGACCUGUGGUUAGGGGUGAAAGGCCAAUCAAACUCCGUGAUAGCUGGUUCUCCCCGAAAUGCAUUUAGGUGCAGCGUCGUGUGUUUCUUGCCGGAGGUAGAGCACUGGAUAGGCGAUGGGCCCUACCGGGUUACUGACCUUAGCCAAACUCCGAAUGCCGGUAAGUGAGAGCGCGGCAGUGAGACUGUGGGGGAUAAGCUCCAUGGUCGAGAGGGAAACAGCCCAGAGCAUCGACUAAGGCCCCUAAGCGUGUGCUAAGUGGGAAAGGAUGUGGAGUCGCAGAGACAACCAGGAGGUUGGCUUAGAAGCAGCCACCCUUGAAAGAGUGCGUAAUAGCUCACUGGUCAAGUGAUUCCGCGCCGACAAUGUAGCGGGGCUCAAGCACACCGCCGAAGUCGUGUCAUUGCGGUAUUACCCCUAACGGGGAUCGUGAUGGGUAGGGGAGCGUCGUGUGCCGGGUGAAGCAGCACUGGAAGGUAGUUGUGGACGGUUCACGAGUGAGAAUGCAGGCAUGAGUAGCGAUACACACGUGGGAAACGUGUGCGCCGAUUGACUAAGGGUUCCUGGGUCAAGCUGAUCUGCCCAGGGUAAGUCGGGACCUAAGGCGAGGCCGACAGGCGUAGUCGAUGGACAACCGGUUGAUAUUCCGGUACCCGCUUUGAAACGCCCAGUAUCGAGCCCAUUAAUGCUAAGGCCGUGAAGCCGCCCUGCGCUCUUCGGAGCAAGGGGAGUGGUGGAGCCGCUGACCCAAGGUGGUAGUAGGUAAGUGAUGGGGUGACGCAGGAAGGUAGUCCAGCCCGGGCGGUGGUUGUCCCGGGGUAAGGGUGUAGGCCGUGCGGUAGGCAAAUCCGUCGCACGUUAAGGCUGAGACCUGAUGCCGAGCCGAUUGUGGUGAAGUGGAUGAUCCUAUGCUGUCGAGAAAAGCCUCUAGCGAGUUUCAUGGCGGCCCGUACCCUAAACCGACUCAGGUGGUCAGGUAGAGAAUACCGAGGCGUUCGGGUGAACUAUGGUUAAGGAACUCGGCAAAAUGCCCCCGUAACUUCGGGAGAAGGGGGGCCAUUGCUGGUGAGGGGUCUUGCAUCCUGAGCUGGUGGUGGCCGCAGAGACCAGCGAGAAGCGACUGUUUACUAAAAACACAGGUCCGUGCGAAGCCGUAAGGCGAUGUAUACGGACUGACGCCUGCCCGGUGCUGGAACGUUAAGGGGACCGGUUAGUGACCUUUCGGGGUUGCGAAGCUGAGAACUUAAGCGCCAGUAAACGGCGGUGGUAACUAUAACCAUCCUAAGGUAGCGAAAUUCCUUGUCGGGUAAGUUCCGACCUGCACGAAUGGCGUAACGACUUCUCGACUGUCUCAACCAUAGGCCCGGUGAAAUUGCACUACGAGUAAAGAUGCUCGUUUCGCGCAGCAGGACGGAAAGACCCCGGGACCUUUACUAUAGCUUGAUAUUGGUGUUCGGUUCGGCUUGUGUAGGAUAGGUGGGAGACUGUGAUCUCGUCACGCCAGUGGCGGGGGAGUCGUUGUUGAAAUACCACUCUGGUCGUGCUGGAUGUCUAACCUGGGUCCGUGAUCCGGAUCAGGGACAGUGUCUGGUGGGUAGUUUAACUGGGGCGGUUGCCUCCUAAAGGGUAACGGAGGCGCCCAAAGGUUCCCUCAGCCUGGUUGGCAAUCAGGUGUUGAGUGUAAGUGCACAAGGGAGCUUGACUGUGAGACUGACGGGUCGAGCAGGUACGAAAGUAGGGACUAGUGAUCCGGCGGUGGCUUGUGGAAGCGCCGUCGCUCAACGGAUAAAAGGUACCCCGGGGAUAACAGGCUGAUCUUCCCCAAGAGUCCAUAUCGACGGGAUGGUUUGGCACCUCGAUGUCGGCUCGUCGCAUCCUGGGGCUGGAGUCGGUCCCAAGGGUUGGGCUGUUCGCCCAUUAAAGCGGUACGCGAGCUGGGUUUAGAACGUCGUGAGACAGUUCGGUCCCUAUCCGCUGUGCGCGUAGGAGUCUUGAGAAGGGCUGUCCCUAGUACGAGAGGACCGGGACGGACGGACCUCUGGUGUGCCAGUUGUUCUGCCAAGGGCAUGGCUGGUUGGCUACGUUCGGAAAGGAUAACCGCUGAAAGCAUCUAAGCGGGAAGCCUGCUUCGAGAUGAGGGCUCCCACCUCCUUUGAGGGGUUAAGGCUCCCAGUAGACGACUGGGUUGAUAGGCCAGAUAUGGAAGCGCCGUAAGGUGUGGAGUUGACUGGUACUAAUAGGCCGAGGGCUUGUCCUC